ACUGCUCAGUAACACGUAGUCAACAUGCCCAGGGGACGUGGAUAACCUCGGGAAACUGAGUAUAAACCGCGAUGGGUCAUGAUUUCUGGAAUGAAUUAUGGCUGAAAUCUAUAUGGCCCCUGGAUUGGACUGCGACCGAUCAGGCUGUUGGUGAGGUAAUGGCCCACCAAACCUGUUACCGGUACGGGCUCUGAGAGGAGGAGCCCGGAGAUGGGCACUGAGACAAGGGCCCAGGCCCUAUGGGGCGCAGCAGGCGCGAAAUCUCUGCAAUAGGCGAAAGCUUGACAGGGUUACUCUGAGUGAUUUCCGCUAAGGAGAUCUUUUGGCACCUCUAAAAAUGGUGCAGAAUAAGGGGUGGGCAAGUCUGGUGUCAGCCGCCGCGGUAAUACCAGCACCCCGAGUGGUCGGGACGAUUAUUGGGCCUAAAGCAUCCGUAGCCGGCCCUGCAAGUCUUCCGUUAAAUCCAUCCGCUCAACGGAUGGGCCGCGGGAGAUACUACAGGGCUAGGAGGCGGGAGAGGCAAGCGGUACUCAGUGGGUAGGGGUAAAAUCCUCUGAUCCACUGAAGACCACCAGUGGCGAAGGCGGCUUGCCAGAACGCGCUCGACGGUGAGGGAUGAAAGCUGGGGGAGCAAACCGGAUUAGAUACCCGGGUAGUCCCAGCUGUAAACGAUGCAGACUCGGUGAUGGGCUGGCCUAGUGCUAGCCCAGUGCCGCAGGGAAGCCGUUAAGUCUGGCGCCUGGGGAGUACGGUCGCAAGACUGAAACUUAAAGGAAUUGGCGGGGGAGCAC
rnacentral:rRNA from 1 species